rnacentral:rRNA from 1 species
GACGAACCGUCCAAACGUUAUUCGGAAUUACUGGGCUUAAAGGGUGCGUAGGCGGCACGGCAAGUCAGAUGUGAAAUCCCUCGGCUCAACCGAGGAAUUGCGUUUGAAACUGCCGAGCUCGAGGGAGACAGAGGUGAGCGGAACUGAUGGUGGAGCGGUGAAAUGCGUUGAGAUCAUCAGGAACACCGGUGGCGAAGGCGGCUCACUGGGUCUCUUCUGACGCUGAGGCACGAAAGCUAGGGGAGCGAACGGGAUUAGAUACCCCGGUAGUCCUAGCUGUAAACGAUGAGAACUUGGUUGAAGACCCUCCCAUAGGUUUUCGGUCGAAGCGAAAGUGUUAAGUUCUCCGCCUGGGGAGUAUGUCCGCAAGGAUGAAACUCAAAGGAAUUGACGGGGGCUCACACAAGCGGUGGAGGAUGUGGCUUAAUUCGAGGCUACGCGAAGAACCUUAUCCUGGUCUUGACAUGUAUGGAUUAGCUCUGUGAAAGCAGAGUGACGCCUUCGGGUGGAACAUACACAGGUGCUGCAUGGCUGUCGUCAGCUCGUGUCGUGAGAUGUCGGGUUAAGUCCCUUAACGAGCGAAACCCUUAUCAUUAGUUGCCAGCGGAUCAUGCCGGGGACUCUAGUGAGACUGCCGGUGUUAAACCGGAGGAAGGUGGGGAUGACGUCAAGUCCUCAUGGCCUUUAUGACCAGGGCUGCACACGUCCUACAAUGGCACGUACAGAGGGACGCAAACUCGCGAGAGUAAGCAAAUCCCAAAAAACGUGCCCCAGUUCGGAUUGCAGGCUGAAACUCGCCUGCAUGAAGCCGGAAUCGCUAGUAAUCGCGGAUCAGCAUGCCGCGGUGAAUGUGUUCCUGAGCCU